rnacentral:rRNA from 1 species
GGACAAAUGAUUGGGGUGAAGUCGUAACAAGGUAGCCGUAUCGGAAGGUGCGGCUGGAUCACCUCCUUUCUAAGGAUAUAUUCGGAAC